UGUGGUAGCAUAAUCACUAGGUUUUUAAUUUGAAUUUUGUAUGAAUGAUUUAUCAAGAGAAAAACCGUCUUUAUACUAAAGGUUGAUUUAUAUUUUUAUGUGAAAAGGCUUAUAAUAUUCUAAAGGGUCGAUAAGACCCUAUAUUUAUUUUCCAUUAGUUGUUAAUAUUUUAUUUAAUUUGUCUGUAUUACGAUUCAAAUAUAAUUUUUUGUUAUGUUGGGGAGACAAAAUGAUAUAAUUUAUAUUUACACUGCUUGAAGAGAAAUCAAUAAUUUAGUCGUUCGAUUGUUAUAGAUCCUCCUUUACAAUUAAAAGAUUAAUUCAAACUAGGAUAUAACAGCAGUUUUUCUCUUGAUAGUUCAUA
rnacentral:rRNA from 1 species